rnacentral:rRNA from 1 species
CCUACGGGAGGCAGCAGUGAGGAAUAUUGGUCAAUGGCCGGAAGGCUGAACCAGCCAUGCCGCGUGAAGGUCAGUGCCCUAUGGGCGUUAAAGUUCUUUUGUGCGGGAGCAAUAAUGAUCACGUGUGGCCAGACGAGAGUACCGUACGAAUAAGCAUCGGCUAACUCCGUGCCAGCAGCCGCGGUAAUACGGGGGAUGCAAGCGUUUUCCGGGUUAAUUGGGUUGAAAGGGUGCGUGGGCUGUGAGGUAAGUCAGCGGUGAAAUGCCCCCGUCCAACGGGGUGAAGUGCCAUUGAUACUGCCUUGCUGGAAUGCGGAUGCCGUAGGAGGAAUGUGUGGUGUAGCGGUGAAAUGCAUAGAUA